CUCACACUGCUUGGCUGAUGAUGUCAGGAGUUAGUGAGAGAGAUUGUUCGUUCCGUCUGCAAGGAUUCCUCAUGGUCAUGACAAAGAUGACUUUGUUUGGCCAAAAUACACACGUGAAUCUCAAGAAUAUGCAGUGCUCACGUCUGGCAGUUGGGAGGUGCACAGUAAAUUUAACGUUAAACAAUGUCAUUUUUGGAAUUACUACCUUCCAAAACUUGUGAGAAGAUUGGGGGAAAGUGAUGAUGGAAAUCUAUGGAGAUAUCAUUCAAAAUAUGAUAUUGAAUGUCAACAAGAAGGAAUGUCAGAACAGGAAUCAGAUUCAUGCAGAUUACUGCAUUACUGAUUAAAAAC